UACAGAGGUCCCAAGCGUUGUUCGGAUUCAUUGGGCGUAAAGGGUGCGUAGGUGGCGUCGUAAGUCGGGUGUGAAAUCUCGGGCUUAACUCCGAACUGCAUUCGAUACUGCGUGCUUGAGGACUGGAGAGGAGAUUGGAAUUCACGGUGUAGCAGUGAAAUGCGUAGAUAUCGUGAGGAAGACAGUGGCGAAGGCGGAUCUCUGGAGAGUUCCUGACGCUGAGGCACGAAGGUCAGGGGAGCAAACGGG
rnacentral:rRNA from 1 species